CAGAGUGCUGUGGACAAGGCCUUGAAGAGUCCAAAUGGACAUCUGGACUUGUUAUGUUGAAAGUUACCUUGAAACCAAACCAAGCACACCAUUGUUUUUUCUUGUGACAUUACCAAUGAGUUUGAUGUGUCACAUGGCCCUCUCCCUAUUGAAAAAAACAAAAGAUGUAUCCAAGAUGGGCAACUUCUAAAUGGCCACCAUGGUACAUCAUCAAAUUCAAAGCAGUUCCUUACAAUGAUUGUGUUGUGUGUGUUUGUAGGUUGUCAGGCUAUCAGAUCACAGGACCAGGCUUCACCUCUCUGGCCACAGCUCUGCACUGCAAUCCCUCCUAUUUGAAAGAGUUGGACUUGAGCUAUAAUCACCCAGGAGACUCAGGAAUGAAGCUUUUGUUUGCUCUAAAGGAGGAUCCACAUGUGAAACUGGACAAAAGAGGAAAUAAAGCUGUUUUUUUUCUCCAGCAUAUUGUAAGAUUAAGCUUCUGGAUUCAUCGCCGGUGAUACUGACACAUAGCCAGUGCUCCUGUGUGGCAGGCGCUGUUAUGUGCAAUCACACAGUGGCAUUGCUCUUCCAAACAGCACACUACUCACAACUCAGAGUGCCGGUCGUCCCCCCUGUGCAUAGCUGCACGGAAUCUGAACAGCAAUGGCACAAGCCACGGACAGUGGGUGUGAGACCAGGACCCAUCAACUCCAUGAUCUUCACUAAGCCGGUACCAAAUAGGAUGGCCCAGACUGGAGUAUGGAGUGGUUUCUAAAGAGGCAUGGUGGGUCCGUUACCAGAUCCCUGCUUGUUCAGAAUAACGGAAGCAUAUGCAAAAUUUAAUAUUGAGGACAGGCCACUUGUGAGACACAAUGAACAUGAGACCUGACAAGCCCCUUGUGGAAAGUGCCUUUGGGCUGGUGCAGGGGGGCAGUCUUCUGUCAUAUCAGCAGCCGGUUUUGACAACCCGGUACAUCACACUACAACGUGAUGCACCACCAACAUCGCACUUGCCUCUGGAGGGGUACGACAUCUUGCCAUCAGAUUGUGUGUUUGUGUGCUCAGAAGAAGAGCUUCUGCAUCUGAAAAACUUGUCUGUAACUCUGGAAAUGGCUCACAAAAUAGAGGAAGCUACAUGUGAGCAAAGCUCUUUGUCUGAGUGGCAUC